CGUUCAAAUGCAGUUGUCUGGGGAUAUGGCUGCCAACAGGGAAGCUCAGAGGAAGGCUACACUCAAUGAAGGUGAUGCAAAUUCAAUACUGAAAGUUAGAGUGUACAACAGAUGUACAUGUACUUACGUGGUCAUAAUCAAAUAGAAGCAUUUCCCACAAAGUACAGUUACGAAGCUUUAACAUCAAAUCUGCCACUUCUAAAACUAGUGUUCAAGCUGGCGCUGUGCUAAUGCCUCUCGCCAUGUUUUUGCUUUCGCUCAAAAGUAUUAGAGUGUUAUCUAUAAUGAAUUUUAUAUUAAAGUUAGCUUAUCUAUAUAAAGUCACUGAGAAGAAAAGACUUAUUUACAUGCAUCUAUUGUUAUUAUUUAUUGUAUUAUGUGGCUUACCAGGACCUCAAGAAAGAAGAAAAUUGAUUCUUCCAGGAUCUGUAGUUCAGUGUAUAUAAUAUCUAAGAAGAAAAGACCUGUGUACAUGCAUAUUGUUAUCUAUAUAGUUAUAUGGUAGUGUUUUGUGGCUAAUACCAGGCCCUCAAGACAAAGAUGAUUCUGCCAGGAGGAUCUGGAUCUUGGAUAUCACACAUGGGGAAUGAGCGCGCAUGCGCAUUACAUCCACAGGAAUAAUUAAAGGGUGUGUCCAAAGAGAUAAAUGGCUGCUGCUAGCUAGCUGUUUUAACAGAUAUUUUCUGAGUAUUGUAGCUAACAAAAAGCUAGCGCUUUAGUGCAAGGCUAACUCAUAUAUUGAAUAGAAAGUUUGUGAGGACAGAUGAUGCUAUGAAAGAUUCUGAAGAGACUGCAACAGCCUUCAAUGUGAGUCAAACUAGCCAUAACUGGAGAAAGAAGCUUUAGUUUGCUAAUCCAAGAUCAUAAUCCAAGAGAACGUGGCUAGAAGCCUAUAGAAGCUGUUAGUUUUCGUCGCAUUGCAACCGUUGAGCAGUUAUAGCUGGAAUACACAGACAGACAGACAGACAGACACACACACAGUCAGCUUUACCGUAUCUCUCGUGCGGCUACGCCUCGAGGCAUAACUAAUAACUUGUUUUGUAGAGGCUAUCUAAUGCUGUAAACGCAUUCUUAAUUAUUAAUUAUGCCUUGGUUUUUAUACUGUACAGUGGUGUACGUGUGUGUGUGUGAGGUCAAGGUUCAUUCAUUUUGCCAAUUGGCUCAGCUUCAUUGUACAUGCCCUAAACACGAUAAUUACCAGUUGUUGUUGUUCUUCCCACGCCCAGUUGAGCGUUGUUGGCGUCGGGACAGGAUCAACGAGCUCAUCAAGAUACUGGCUCAGAUAGUGCCUGCUUGUCAGAAGAAAGACGCAACUAUACUGGUUCCAUUGUCGGGUAUGUGUUCAGCAAGGGAACGAUACUGGACAAGACAGUGGACUACUUGAAAAAGCUCGUAUUUCAAUCCUCUCAACAAUAGUGUAUAGUAUAUUAUAAUAUAAUAAUAAUAGUAUAUCCUCCAUUGCGAGCACGACCACUUCUCCGUCCACUCCUGUACCGAAAUCCUCCAUGCUGUCACAAGCCAACAACAAUGGUGAUGGUGGUGGUGGUGGUGGUCUCUCUGCCGCGGCUGCUGCUAGUCUGCUCAACACUCUGAUUCUGGCUCAGAAUGUGCUCACAAGCAACUCAAGUGCUGGUAGCCCCGGGCAAGAUUCAAUGUCUAUGGAAACGGUGGACCAAUCCUCUCAACAGUAUUAUAAUUGUGGACUGUUUAUACUGUUCUAGUUUUAACGUGUGUUUUUUAGUAAUCUCUCCUUCACUUACUAUAGCUACAUUGUCAGUAUUAUUAUGUAUACAUAGUUUUUAUACAUGAUAUUUGUGUGGAGCUCUUUGAGAAAAAUAUUGUAGCCAAGCCCAUUUAUAUGUAACCACGCCCAUUAUAAUUAUGUGCAGCCUAGCCUCCAUCUCAAGCGGCACUUCCUAGAAAGUUGGCCUGGUAAUCGACUGCUUGUGCAUGAGCUAACCAUUAGCUGGCAUUGAGAAGAACCUUCAUCAAGAACAAGGUACGUGUGUAUAAUGUGUAGUUAUGCAGUGCAAUGAGUUGACUGUGUACUAUUGAAUGUACAGUACAAAGAAUGGGAACCUAGCAUGCUUACUAGUCUGUAUGCACUUGUAUACAAGGUAUGCUUCAAUGUAUGCAGUUUAGGUGUGUACAGGGAAACGUGUGUCAAUUGAGAACACUAGCUCACAAUAUUUGUACAUGACAUUGUACAGUACGUGUACCAGACCCUUCAUCACACUACCAGUUUGAAUGUGUCCAUGUGUUGUUUAUCCUGGCUACAGGACACUGCCGAGGGUAGCACUUCAGUGCUCUAGUUCUAAUUGUAGAUUGACUGAUCAAUUUGUCUUCUGUACUAUUGUUUGAUUUUUCCGCCCCUCAUCUUUUCCGGCCCCCAGUUAUGCGGCCAUUUUUCAGCCCGACCAAGUGUUGAGGAGACAAGAAGAGGCACUGAGAAUGGAGGUAGAGGCGUACUAUGCUGCUAAGAAGGCCACUCAGUGUGACUAUGACCGUGUGACUCUUUAACCCCUCAGUUCCAUUAGGAUAACUGGGGGCCGGAAAAGAUAAGCCUACUAUGCUGCUAAGAAAGAGAGGGGCCUCACGUAAACUGGCCACUCAGUGUGACUAUGAUCAUGUGACUCUUUAACCCCUCAGUUCCCGAGCCCCACCCCUCACUGUCUGACUCGGAAGAGGAGAUAGACUUUGUAUUCUGGGAGAAGGCGUCCACCCUACCCUCGGACAAGACCCCAACCAAGGACCUGAACUUGUUAUGAGACUGUUAAAUAUUAU